GUCUCUUUUGGCAGUGGUGCUCGCCUCUUGAAAGCAUGGUUUCGCGUCACUGAAAUAUUUCUAUCUCAGCUAUUAUUGAACAAAUUUCAAAACUUCUGACGGUCGAACGCUCUCUAGAGGGCGCGUAACAACUUCCAGCCUAUAAACAAAAUUUGCUAUGUAGCCUGGUGAGGGGCCCUUCUAACUGCCUUAA
rnacentral:lncRNA from 1 species